CAGGAGGUAGUUUAUGCAGAAUGUCAGCUUUGGGUGCUGAUGGUGGGGCUCAAGCCCUCUUCCUGA
rnacentral:tRNA from 1 species